rfam:Penicillium oxalicum 114-2 unplaced genomic scaffold scaffold_8, whole genome shotgun sequence.
GCCUCUAUAGCUCAGUGGUACGAGCGCUUCACUUGUAUCAGCUCAUCCGAGCAGUUGCGACAUGAAGAGGUCCGUGGUUCAAUCCCGCGUGGAGGCU